AACCUUCCUUUAAGCGGGGGAUAGCCCAUAGAAAUGUGGAUUAAUACCCCAUAAUAUUAUUGACUGGCAUCAGUUGAUAAUUAAAGAUUUAUCACUUAAAGAUGGCUGUGCGGCUGAUUAGGUAGUUGGUUGGGGUAACGGCCCACCAAGCCAUCGAUCAGUAGCUGAUGUGAGAGCAUGAUCAGCCACACGGGCACUGAGACACGGGCCCG
rnacentral:rRNA from 1 species